rnacentral:tRNA from 5 species
UGGUGUAGCUCAAUCGGUAGAGCAACUGACUUGUAAUCAGUAGGUUGAGGGUUCAAGUCCUUUCACC